CCACGGAGCGAAGGAAGGAGAGAAGAAGACUUAGCGAGUCUGUCCGAAGAUUGAUAGGAAAAAAGGAUCUUCGUGUACCGAUUAAGACUGACAUCAGAUGCAAUUAACAAGAUGAAACGAUACGAAGAAGCGUGGUCAUGGCGUAAAAUGAUGCGAUAGCGAGAUGAAAGUGAAGAAGAAAGGGAAAGUUGCCCACUGGCAUCCUUCUUCCAAGUGAAGAGGAGACUGUAACCUUCUAAAUCACUGGUUCAGUGCAAGAAUAUGAUACCUAAGGUGAUGAAAUUGAUGCUGAAGGGCCAGAGGGACUAUUUGGAAAUGGAUAGAUUGGACUUGAUGAUCUACAAAUUAAUUGUAUCUCUCAGGUUUAAAUCAUUGGAUGCAUGAUCUUAAUCAACUCGAGGAAGUAUCCUGAACGUUUUAUAACGAAUACUUGGAUCAUGAAAAACAAGGAACGAAAGGUAUACAAUACAAAAAUCAAAGGACAUAUCUGCUAAAACAGUGGAUCUUUAUUGUCACGUAGAUACAUACAUCCCAUAGCCAUUUUGAUGGAAAUGUUUUGAUACAAAUUUUAGGAAGUAACUGCUGUUUUUCUGAUCGCUGAAUUUAAUCUAUUUAAAUAAGAUGAACCGUGAAUAUGUCAAGUUAUUUAAAGUUCAAGUAAGGGGUUCCAAUAGAAAGUAAUCUUUCAAGGCUGAUUAUGAAACAGGAGUUUUUAAUAUUUAUUAAAAAUUUACAUGUCGAAUAAUGAACUUAUUUUUACAUUAUACAUAAAUUAAAAAUUAUGUUUCGGAAAGGUAUUUUAUUGUUGAUAUUUCAGGGACCUUAAUGAUAACAUUUUUUCAGUACUUCGUAAACAAUUUAUUUAUAACAUUUCAUGCAUUUUUAUUCUCAUCGCUGCAUUGCCAACUAUUAAAUUCUAAUUUUAUAACAAAUGGAAGAAUUUUAUAAAAGAGUAUUUAAAAAUAUACAUUAGAGGAUACUUAACAAAUUAUGUAUAAAAAGAUUACAAUCAUUAUCUUACCAAACAGUUUGUAUGGAAGUUUUGAUAAUAAUUGAUCAAACCAUUUAAUUAGUUUAACGACAUAAAGCAACAUUAAAUGUUGCUUAAAUUUUCAAAAUUCUUACGUUCAUUAAUUUCGUUUUAAGUUAUUUCUACAUGAUUCAAAGAUUUUUUUGUCUUGUUAAAAUUUUUUUUUAUAAUAAUUACUUCAUGAAACAUAUUAGAUCUUAUCAGAUCAUUGUUUCGAAAGGUAGAAAUAUCAAAAAGAGAUUUCUCUGACUAAUAAAAUAAAAAGAAAAAAAAAUAUCUUAUGAAACGAAUAACUUUAUUAAAUAUG